AUAGGGCGGCUGUGCACACAAUACAGCCUAGCCAGACUGCAUGUGUGCAUUCACUUCGACAGGAAGUCACUCACCUGUUUUUUCGAAGAUUUCGGGGCACAAAUCUCUCGACCACAAAUCCUCUACCAAUUUGCAUAACUGUGCAGUGAGUUCACACGCUGUGCGAGUGUGUGUGUAGUGAUUGCAUGUACUUUGUGCGCUAUGAAUUCCCUCCGUUUUUCGGUGGACAAAGUUUGUGGUUUGGGUCUCAGUUUGUGAUCGUACCAAGCAAGUCAGAGUGCAAGUUGGACCACUAAAAUAAGCUUUUUAUGGAUGCAAGGCGACUGCUUUUUUGAGUUGGCGGCAGUGUGGAUACAUUCCUGGAAUUGCUUGCCUCCAGGCCAUCGAACUCUCAAGGCAGGAAACGAUAACCGAA